ensembl:lncRNA
CUUCUAGUUCCGACAAUGCAGUAAUAACGAACAAGUAAUCUAACUAACAAUUCCAAAAAACUACUGUCUUAUACACAGUGUAAGGGGAUAAAGAAUAUGUACAUAAAGAUAUAUGAAUGAGUGAUGGUACAGAGCGGCAUAGGCAAGAUACAGUAGCUGAUAUCGAGUACAGUAUAUGCAUAUGAGAUGAGUAUGUAAACAAAGUGGCAUAGUUAAAGUGGCUAGUGAUACAUGUAUUACAUAAGGAUGCAGUAGAUGAUAUAGAGUACAGUAUAUACGUAUACAUAUGAGAUGAAUAAUGUAGGGUAUGUAAACAUUAUAUUAGGUAGCAUUGUUUAAAGUGGCUAGUGUCAUUAUUUCCAUGUCGAUCCUAGUAGAAGAAACAGCCCUUAUGAUUUCAUGGUGAACUUCAUUGUAACCUCCUGAACGUCCUGUGAACCAGCCACUGUUUCUGGCAGCAGAAUGCAAAGAACAACAGAAGCCAAAACCACAUCAGGAAGAUCAUAUUUAUACAAGAGUCAGAAAGGCAAACAGGCAGGUUGGAGAUAGUGAAACAGACAGGUUGGAGAUAGUGAAACAGACAGGUUGGAGAUAGUGAAACAGACAGGUUGGAGAUAGUGAAACAGGCAGGUUGGAGAUAGUGAAACAGACAGGUUGGAGAUAGUGAAACAGACAGGUUGGAGAUAGUGAAACAGGCAGGUUGGAGAUAGUGAAACAGGCAGGUUGGAGAUAGUGAAACAGACAGGUUGGAGAUAGUGAAACAGGCAGGUUGGAGAUAGUGAAACAGGCAGGUUGGAGAUAGUGAAACAGACAGGUUGGAGAUAGUGAAACAGACAGGUUGGAGAUAGUGAAACAGGCAGGUUGGAGAUAGUGAAACAGACAG